UCAUUUGGAGGUAGAGGCGCCGUCCUGAAGGAGGUCAUCAUAAGGAUCGCGGCGGCCGGGGACUUGGCUGAUCUGUGGGUCCCAGAAGUUCUGAGCAUUGUGCCGAUCAAAUGUCCAGAAACCAUAAGGACGCAGCGGAUAACUCCACAUCUCUCUAGUCUUACUGCACCUCUCCUUUGUUGCGUACACGUGUUCCCGAAACUUGCGAUCUCUCUCCUUCGGAUCCUCCAUUAAUCUCAAUAUCAAGUUCUCCGCAAAUUCCAUUAUGAAUCCCAUUUUUAACCUGAGAGUUAUACCAGCAAAAACAAAAUUUGCGUCUCAUUAAUUC
rnacentral:lncRNA from 1 species